UUACAUAUAAUAAAUAAAUAAAUCUUUAAAAAAAAAAGAAAGAAAUUGACAGGUUAAUGUUUAGAAAUCUAAAAUGUCCUUGAUAUUGUUUCUAUAUUUUAGUGAAUUAAUAUUAAAAAUUUGUUGUGAUAAAUUUAGGGUUAAUAUAAAUAUAUAGUUUCAUACACACACAUAUUAGGAAAGACUGUUGUAGCAUUCUCUGGGGAAAGAGCAAGUAGUUGGCUCUAAACUCUCAGUAAUUUAUCUGUAUCAGGUACUGCUACUGUAAUGCUAUACAAUCUAAGCAUUUCACAUUUUAGGUGCUAAAUCCUUUUUAAAUCUCUAACCCUAUAUAUUUGCGAAUCUAACUUAAUAAAAUUCAAUAUUCAUCUGACUGCUUAUAAUUAAACUUCCCAUGAUCCCCUCUUUAAGUUCAGUUAUUUUACUAGUACAACAACUCACAGAACUCAGCAAACACACUUACUGGUUGAUAAUAAAUAGUAUAUUAAAGCAUAGAAAUGAAUAGACCAAUGAGCUAACACAUAGGAGAAGACCUAGAAGCCUUGGCCUCCAGUGGGAGUUUGUGCCUCAUUAAUAGCAUGUGGUAGUUCUAUUCACCUUCCUACACACCUGAAUUAAGUUUGUUUGAAUUUUUAUAUAGAAAAAAAUUUUAAAGAGGCUUCAUUGGCUGUUUAUCAACCUAAACUCCAGCUUCUCUGCUUUUUCGGGCAUGAUUGAUUCUUGUGGCAACCACCCCCCUUCCCCCAUCUUGUGUUAUUUAGCAACUUCACCCAAAUUAUCUUAUUAAUACAGUCUCAGGUGGUUGAAAUGUGCUUGUUAUAAAUUAAAACC
rnacentral:lncRNA from 1 species